CUACAUUUGUGUUUAAAUUUAAAUUUCUUUCAAUAAUCUAUUGUCGAGGGUUUUUGGAAUAAUGGAGCAAUAUAAUGUAAUACAGACAAAAGCAAAGCGGGUGCGUUCCAACCCAACCAGAAAGUGGCUGUUUGAAGAAGAAAAGUCAUUAAUUGAAUUUUAAACAUAAUACAGAGAUUUUUAGAAGCCAACGUCUCAAAUGUAUUAUAGACGAUUUGCAAAGGAGGGCAACAUUGCGGUGGACUAGAAGCUCGAAGGUUCGUUAUAUGCGUACAACAUAUACGGAUAGUAUAACGAAGCAAAACAUGGGAAGUCUCAACGGGUGCAGGGAGUAUGGAAAGUGAAACUAUGAAGGCCACUUAAAAUGUGUAAAUCUUUUUAUGAAAUGGAAAAAUUAAAUUUUCGGCAGCAGAGUGAUUGUGCCAGCAGUAAUCAACGAUAGUUUGGAAAACAACGAAAGCUGUUCGGAAGUAGACCUCAACGAGUCAGCGUCUUCUGCGGCUGUAUGAGAAGAUUUGUAAAGGAAUGUAUUCCAGAACUGCGGCAUCAGAUAUUCUGCAAUUUCAGUCUGAAAUGAUACAGUUGAAAAGGCAGAAAAUUGAGCACGAAAUGAGUUUUAAGGAGAAAGAGGUGGAAUUAAGAGAAAGGGAAUUGAUGAUUAAAACAAAAAGAAGUGGAGUUAACGGAAAAGCAAUUAUUACGAAAAGACAAAGAAAUAGAGACGAAACUAAAAUAAUUGGAAAGUAAUGAAAAACUAAAAAUAAUGGAAAUACAAAUGAAAAAAAGAUUGGCAAUGGAGGAAUUGAAACACAGAUACAAAUAAGUGGAAGAAGUGGUGCAAGAGAAUUUUAAAUUACCUGAAGUAAAUUAAUGUACCUGAAGUUCAUUUUUAAUAAUUACUUUUUAUAUUAAUUUUUAAAUAGAAUAAAAACAUUUUUACAUAUGUAGGUAGGUAUUGAGUAAAUAUACGAUGAAAAAAUGAUGUAUUUUAAGUUAA